AAGGAUCAUUACUGAAUUUAAUGAAGGCAGUUGCUGGCUCUUUUACGAGAGCAUGUGCACGCCUUCAAAUUCAUCUCUUACCACUGUGAACUGUAGUAGACUAUGAUAUCUCUCAAUGGUUUUCCAUUGGAUUGAAGGACAUGCGCUUAGCUGUCUUUCGACUUCAUAGUCUCCCCCUUAUCUUUAUAAACUAAAGUCAUAGAAUGUCUUUUGUGGGUGUAAAAACCUAUAAACAUAUACAACUUUCAACAACGGAUCUCUUGGCUCUCGCAUCGAUGAAGAACGCAGCGAAAUGCGAUAAGUAAUGUGAAUUGCAGAAUUCAGUGAAUCAUCGAAUCUUUGAACGCACCUUGCACUCCUUGGUAUUCCGAGGAGUAUGCCUGUUUGAGUGUCAUUAAAUUCUCAAACCUCAUAGGCUUUAUUGACUAUGAGGCUUUGGAUGUGGGGGUUGCUGGCUUCUCACGAGGUCAGCUCCUCUUAAAUACAUUAGUGGUUACUGUUCUCCACUUCUUGGUGUGAUAAUUAUCUACGCCUAGUGAAGAAGUAAAGUGUAGCUGCUUUCUAACCGUCCAUUUACUUGGACAACUUGAACCUAUUGACCUCAAAUCAGGUAGGACUACCCGCUGAACUUAA
rnacentral:rRNA from 1 species